rnacentral:lncRNA from 1 species
UCAAUGUUAUAUUUGACAAUUUUAAAGAUAAAAAAAAUAAAAGUAUGUACUAAAUAUUUGAAUUUAAGACGGAAGCACGAACAAAAUUCUCUCUUACAGGUGCAAGAAAUUAAGAAUUUAUUAGUAAUAUAUGUAUGAAGUAGAAGGAGUGUGGUCCAUUCUACAUUCCCCGAUACAAAGAUAGUUGAUAUGAAAUGAAAAGUAUUUGUGAAAAGUGGUAGUGCAAAGAAAGAUGUAAACUAUUUGCGAGGGUGAGUAUCCUGAGGUUGUGCAACUCCAGCAGAAACCUUAGCCACAUCCCUAGCAUUAGCUUCGGGCUUCUUCUUUGCAUAUAAGAUAGUAUACCCAAUUGCAGCCGUAAUAGCCAAACCAGUUACAGCCAUUGUUGUGUAGCUGUAAGGAAGUGAUUUCCUCUGAUGAAGCACUUCAGUGGCACCAUGACCUGGGGGUCUCUUUGAGGCCUCUGCUUGUGCUUUUUCUCUAUCCAUUUUCCUCUUCCUAUCUUCCUCCACCACUACCUCUUCUCUAUAUAUCAUUACCUCUUCACCCAUCUAACACUCCAACUUUGAUGUCUCAAAAUAAACCUUAAAUGUUCUCAAGCCACGUAACACCCCAACUUUCAUGUCUUCCCAACACGUAGCCACUACGUGUCCUUGAAAUCGCCUCUGGAGUUCACCAGAUUUACCAUGCAUGCUGCUUCACGCACACAUCAUGCUACCACUUUUCAAUUCCCAAAUUAUUAUUUAUACACUCAAUUCUAAC